rnacentral:rRNA from 1 species
CCCUUAGAUGUUCUGGGCUGCACACGUGCUACACUGGCAGGUUCAGCGAGCUUCAUGCCCUGAUCUGAAAGGAAUGGGAAAUCUUUUCAAAACCUGCCGUGCUUGGGAUAGAUGUUUGCAAUUAUUCAUCUUCAACGAGGUUUGCCUUGUAAGCGCACGUCAUCAGCGUGCAUUGAAUACGACCCUGUAUUCUGUACACACCGCCCGUCGCUCCUACCGAUUGAAGUUUUCGGUGAGUUGACAGGAGGAUUUUUUUGAAACUGGUUCGCCAGUGGAUUUUAGAUCCAAAUGCCAACGAAUCGAUGGCUUUAGAGGAAGGAGAAGUCGUAACA